CAAUGAGAUGGAAGACUUUCUAGAUGGAAGACUUCUAAUAGAAAUUACUCUUGAAUGGGGCAGAUUUCAUUUUGUUAAAUUCACAAGUAGCCGCUAUUGUUCUGAUUAUGGUGGGAUGGAGGGAGGACACUGAACCUGAAAAGGAUUUCAGAGCUGCAGAGGGGACAGCAGGAAAGGUAGCAUCAGCAAGGACAAAGACAUAUCACUUUUUCCAUAGUUGUGUUUGAGCCUGAUCUUCUAAGCCAAUGUCUAUCAAUGUCAACAUCAUCUCCAUUUUCUGGUCUCUUAGGUGGGCUUCAGGAUGCCUGUGCAAUUAUAAAGAGCAAAUGGGCCAAUUGAAAAUAGCAGUUCAAAGGACUCUCCUCAUUUGCAAGGUCUUCCACAGCUCUCAAACUAUUGCUUCCCAUGCACAUCACAAGGGCAGAGAGUGGAGGCAGCAGAGGUAGUGUGGGGGACCAGCUUGGUGAGAGCACUACAGAGCUGGUGCCGAGACUCCCUCUCUUCAUCCUUGUUCAGAUGGCACUUCCACCACUUGGAAGGGGCUGCAGGAAGCCUGGGAAUUAAUUUCUUAGCACCACCUCCACAAAGUUCUCCAUAAACAUUGAUUGACUCAGUGAAUCAGUCCCGGAACUAAGAUGAAUAUGAAUUUCCCGCAAGUUCCCCAACCUUGGGAGGCCUGGUGGCCUCUGUGUGCUCUGUUACCUGUGCCCGGCACUGGUUCACUCUCAAUCAACACUGAGGACCCCGCCCAGCAGGCACUCCCAGCACAUGAGUGGAGUGGGGUGUAAGAGUGGAGAGCUGGGAAGAAGGACCCUAGAGGCAACCCCAAGGGUGGAAGAGAGAGGCUGCCUUAUGGACCCCUAAAAAGGAAGGGGGUGUGCAUUGGCUCCAGCAACUCCCUUUUGUGGUGUACUUUUGGCCACUGCACAUGAUUUCUAUUCAUCUCCUCCCAGUCUCUUGUGUAGCUCAGUCUUGCCUUUUCUUUCCUGGUUUCUGUUUUGCACAAAAAAAGGUUUUUUAAGCAUUGGUGGAACCAGAAGAUCAGGAUCAGGGGAACAGGAUGUGUUGCAUAUUUUUCUUCCCCUAGAACUGUCCCCUGCUCAUGAUGUCAGUCUAGGCUUGGGGCACAGAGGCCAGGUGACAGGGAAGAAAUGCCCUGGGCAACUGGUUGGGACAGAGGCUGCACUCGGCAAGUCCUGGUUAAGGCCCACAUCCCUGGGUGGCAGAGAGGUCUCCACCAUCCCCAUUUCCAUUUAUACAUCAAAUUCUUUAAGGGCUCAGAGAGGAGCAGAAUGGAGAAGAGGCAGCAGUCUAAUGGCUUGGUGAUGAGCUUAUGGCCUAUGGGAAGUGCCUUCAAGAUGUCAAUAGAUGUUCUCUGACACAGCUGCUGCCAUAAUGACACCACCCAGCAGCACUCUCACAGCUUCUGCCCCUCCAGCUUUCCUCUUCUCUUAAAGCCCUGGCUGAGUCAGAUACUGAGUGUCUCCCCUGAAAGUGGCUCAGGUAGUUACCUCCCAAGAUAUUGUUCAGUAAGUCUUCUAGUUAGUAGGAGAUGCUUGUUACAAGUUGGGGUGGCUGAGCAACCUUUGUCCCCUGAGAGGCAGCAUGUUGUAACAUUUAAUAGGGAUUCCUGGGUUCUGUCUAAUCCUGGAGCAGUCACUAACUUACCAUGAAAUUUAUAAGUCCCUUCCCCAAUCAGCCUGUUUCCUCCCCUUGUUCUGCUUGACCAUAGCAUCCCUGUCCUAAGGGGUCUGCAGAGCCUAGAGAUGGGUGUAAGCAGGUCAGGCUCUUCACUGCCAUGGUCAUUUACUGGUUUUCUAUGCUCCACAUAAGGUGAGAGGCAGAGACACAGCCUUUCUGGGUUGGGUCCCUUCGUAGGAAGGAAGGAGCUGUGGGGAGAAGGUAGGCCUUCACAUAGGGUGAGCCUGUUCUGGGCCCAACACCACUGGGAGGCAUGAAAAACAACCCCUUAGGAGUAAGAGAGAAAACCUCUGAAGACAGCAUGGUUAACUUUCAAUCUUAUGGUGUUAACAGCCACACUAGAAAAUUAGGAGAUGAAAGUGUAAGUAGUCUUCAAGGCUAUGGAAGGGAGGUAACACCCCAAGAGAUAGGAGGCUGGGACACUCAGUCUUCUGAGAGCAUGUGGUCUGCAGAAAUGCCAGUCAAAGCAGGGUCUGCAUUACUCAGAAAACAAUAUUAGAGACUUUCCCAGAAGAUAAGGACAAUUUCAGUGACAAGGGAAAACAUAUACAUAUACUACUUCACCAAAGUGACCCACAGUAAUCCUUUACCUUAUUAGCAUAGUAAAAUGCACACCCCUGGGUGGACACUUAGAAUAGUAAUGAGACAUGCGAUGCAUGAAGAAUGAUAGAAGGGAGUGUAGGCCCAGCUAAAGCCCCAACUCCACAUGAGAUGACAUCAAGAGAUGGAGUUCACCCUAUAGAUGUCACAAAAGCUAUUCCCCCUUUGUUCUUUGCUUGAGAUCAGCCUGGGAGCUUAGUCCCUCCUGUGCUAUCUCCCUUUUGCUUCAGGUAGAAAACUCCCCCCACCAUUUUUUUUUUUUUGCUGAAGCCGGCCUGGGGUCUCUAUCCCUCAAAGCUGUGUCCCUUCUGACUCAAAGUCCUUAAUAAAGGCUUGCCCGUGCCUAAAUUCAUUCUGGGUCCAUUGUUCAUUUCUACACCUCUGGAUCCAAAAACCCAAGUUGGGUAAUAGUAUGAGUGCAGUUCUUGGGCCAGCCCAGGCUUCAGGUAGAUGGUGCUGAAACCGCAUGGAUUCUACUCGGACCUUACAGACUCAUGAGCAUGAGACUAUGGGCUACUAACCCUCUUGGGCCUCUCCAGUAGUCCUGCCUCACAGCUCUUCCCUGGUGAGAACUGGGAAUCUCAAGAGGCUCUUCAGAUUCACUGGCGGUAGCCAUAUUCCCUAUCACAUAAGUUUGUGCCUUGUAAGAAAAUUAACAAAGGCAGAUAAGUAAAAAAAUAAAAAUAAAUAAAGAAAAGAAAGAAAGCAUUAUCCAUUCCUCCCAUUCCUCAAUAAUAAGAGUGUGGGAUACUUCCUUCCAGUUCUUUCCUAUGCAUCUCUACACAUAUAAAACACAAACAUGUAUUUAUGAACAUAAUAAAAGUGUACUUUUACUACUAUUUUUCUAUCACCUGUAAUAAAUGCUUUAAAAAUAAUCACAAUUAUUAAAUAAUUCCCAUUAUUAUACCAAUGAAAUGAACCAUUCCUUCAUAUCUCAUACCAAAUCAAUUUUCCCUAAUUAAAAAUAAAGGUUACUUUUUUAUACUGCUUUUCUUGGAAUUUAAACAAACACCUUACUGGUGAUUGAUAUGGUUCCUUCAAUCUGUGAUCAUUCUCCAUUUUGGUUUAAAUGCCAUUAAUGUUGAAGAAACUGGGUCUUUUGUUCUCUUAGAUACUAUUUUGUAAACCUACCUUUUUUCUUUAUUUAAUAAAUUGCU
rnacentral:lncRNA from 1 species